UAAAAUUAUAAAAAGAUGUACAUAUCUGUCGGUAUUGACAUCAAAAUGACUAAUCUGAUUGAAAUAAAGUCUUGGUAGCGUAAAAAAGUGUGACUUGAAUAAUGGUGUAAAGGACCUAAAACUGGAACACUUUCAUAUGGAUUUUCAUCAUCUUUGUGAAUUGAUUGCAUAGUUGGAGCAGAUGGCAAAAAAUAUGGCAGUUUAUGAGCUAAUGUUGUUGCGGAUUUGCUUGCUUCAUUGGCAUUUGAAUUAUUCUUUGAUCCAACAAUACCUAAAUAUUGGAAAAUUCAUAUUAAACUGUGAAUAACUUUAUUCAUAUAAAAUUGUUUAAGUGGAUAAGCAGUGUAUUUCAAUAGGAAAAGUAUCAUAUUUUGGGGGUGAGGAAAAGUAUUGAAUGCAUAUUUCGAAGAAACCGUGUGGACUUUAAAGUGAUAAAUAAUUUAUCAGAUGAAAGUUAAUUCCUUGUGGAAAAGUGAAUUUUAAUUGAUGAAUAUUAAUUUAUGUCAAGCAUAUACUUUAUAGUAAAGCUUGUCAAA